rnacentral:tRNA from 90 species
GCGGACGUGGUGGAAUUGGUAGACACACUGGAUUUAGGUUCCAGCGCCGCAAGGUGUAAGAGUUCGAGUCUCUUCGUCCGCACCA